rnacentral:sRNA from 1 species
GUUAAAGUUUUCUAGGGUUCCGCACGUCUUUUGAUGUGGUCUGGUCCGAGAGAAAACACAUAUGAAGCUUCAUAUGCACACGGAGGGAUAAAAGCCCGGGAGUA